rnacentral:rRNA from 1 species
CUUCCAGACUCCUACGGGAGGCAGCAGUGGGGAAUAUUGCACAAUGGGGGGAACCCUGAUGCAGCGACGCCGCGUGGGUGAAGGAGCACCUCGGUGCGUAAAGCCCUAUCGGCAGGGAAGAAACAGACGGUACCUGACUAAGAAGCCCCGGCUAACUACGUGCCAGCAGCCGCGGGAAUACGUAGGGGGCAAGCGUUAUCCGGAUUCACUGGGUGUAAAGGGAGCGUAGACGGCGACGCAAGUCUGGAGUGAAAGGCAGGGGCCCAACCCCUGGACUGCUCUGGAAACUGUCCGGCUGGAGUGCAGGAGAGGUAAGUGGAAUUCCUAGUGUAGCGGUGAGAUGCGUAGAUAUUAGGAGGAACACCAGUGGCGAAGGCGGCUUACUGGACUGUAACUGACGUUGAGGCUCGAAAGCGUGGGGAGCAAACAGGAUUAGAUACCCGCGUA